rnacentral:rRNA from 1 species
AGAGCGAACGCUGGCGGCAGGCCUAACACAUGCAAGUCGAACGGACUCUUCGGAGUUAGUGGCGGACGGGUGAGUAACACGUGGGAACGUGCCUUUAGGUUCGGAAUAGCUCCUGGAAACGGGUGGUAAUACCGAAUGUGCCCUUCGGGGGAAAGAUUUAUCGCCUUUAGAGCGGCCCGCGUCUGAUUAGCUUGUUGGUGUGGUAAUGGCUCACCAAGGCUACGAUCAGUAGCUGGUCUGAGAGGAUGACCAGCCACAUUGGGACUGAGACACGGCCCAAACUCCUACGGGAGGCAGCAGUGGGGAAUCUUGCGCAAUGGGCGAAAGCCUGACGCAGCCAUGCCGCGUGUAUGAUGAAGGUCUUAGGAUUGUAAAAUACUUUCACCGGUGAAGAUAAUGACUGUAGCCGGAGAAGAAGCCCCGGCUAACUUCGCGCCAGCAGCCGC